AGCCAAUCAAAAAGGACUAGUUUCAUAUAUUAGACAGAGACAUUAUCCCUAACCGGUGUGAAGACAAUAUAUUUACAAGCUCUGAUUAACACUUACCAGAAGGAUUUAAAGUUUCCUCCACAGGUUCACCAUACCAUCUACAAUUGACUUGAUACGUUCUCCCCAUGGUUUUGAUUCAAUUGUUGUAACCUGAGCCUCAUCCACUGUCCUUUUGUUAAUGUUCUCCCUGUGUAAUUCAAGAGAGCUCUGAACUUGUU
rnacentral:misc_RNA from 1 species